rnacentral:piRNA from 1 species
GUAGUAAUCUUCUAUGUUGGUCUCCG